UAGACAAAUAGAAUAAUACAGUAAAGUAGGUACUUGAAUGAUUUUUAUUAAUUUUUAGUUUCAUUCUUUAUUUAAAGUUUAAGAUGUAAAAGCUCUGAAAGUAAUUUACCAAAUUUCGUUGUCAUGGAAAGCAGUGCACCACCGCCUUGGUAUCUUAAGCUGCGUACACACUGGGUCAACAAAUGUGUUUCGCUAGCCUUCUUUGGUCCUGUUUGAACAUACAUGUUCAAGUCGAGAGCUAACGAAUUUGUGUAUGUUUUACGCAACACUUGAACCGGGUAUCUGGGUACAUUUUCUAAACUGACCAGUCUGUUAUAAAAUAAAUAUUAUAAUAAAUAAAUGUAAGUAAAUAUUAAAUGGAUCACACAAAAGUUGUUUUAUUUAAUUUGGCACACAGUAAACAGUGGACUAUUCAACUAAGUAGUUUUGGGGAAUCUUACACAAUGGACAACCACACACUAGUAUUGUUCUUACAACGUUUAUUGACGUCACAUACAGACAACACUUAAACUAUCACUAGUGAAUGCCGGGGUUUGUUUUCGUGUCGCGAGUCGGCUCAGCGGGCUUUGAGGCCGGCGAGCGUUCUCAGCGAUGUAGAGAAAACAAACCUAAUUGUCAGAGACGGGUGGGGUCACGACGAGGCAAGGGUAGCUGUGUCGGGCGUUCUGGCGUGGAGGGAGGCCAACUCUUGCAUGUGUGGUAGGGUCGACUCUCCUGUUCGUUGGAACUGCCUUCUAGCUAGAUGCCUAAUAAAAGCUCUCCAUCCGCAAUCUCCUGUGAAUCAAGGUAAUUCGCACAUAGCGCGGGGCGUUAGUUAUAGUUCUAAUAGAGAGAGAAGCUGGCGCGGCGUAAGUUAAGCGUGGGCGUAUGUAGGUCCGGGAAAAAGGCGUGAAAUUAUGUAUGUACGGAUAUAAAGCUACUUAGAUGAUCUUCAGAGGGGUUAGUGCGAGUUUUAGUCGGUCAAACGCGUCGAGCAAGUAAACGCGAGUUUGUAUGGAGUUGCAUUAGUGCCUUUGGGUUACCACUAGGUGACGCUGAUCACAUAUAAAUUCGCGUUUACUACAUCGACGCGUUGGUGAAGUGAGCAGAAGUGAGAACAUUUUACUACUGUGCCAUAGAUAUACGAUUUAGCUUCAACACCCAUUUGACGUACUAGACAGCCUUGUCUGAAACGAAACGUAACUGUCACAGUGACAAUGACGUAACUUGUUAGUCGUCAAAAUAGUGUUGAGUUCCUUGCAAGUUGAAACGAAAACAGUGUAAUGUUUCUUUUAAAAGUAUAAAUAUUAGAAAGUUUUUGCAAAUUAUAUUUUGCUUUAUAAGCAUCAAUUAAUCGCACUGUGACUAUCAAUCGUUUUUGUGUGUUCUUCUCUUUAAAACCUAACCUUAAUCGGUGUGUUUCGUAGAGUAAAAGUUAUUUUGUGAUUGUUAAUUUUUUUUAAUGUUUAAUUUUCAUACUAUAAUACGUUUAUAAUACACAUAACUUACUCUUUUUUGCUGGCCGCACUUUAGUACGCAAUAUCAAAAAAGGAAGGAAAAAACUCGUUUCUUCAAAUUGUCCAAUCUGCGGUGAUGAGGUGAGCGGCUACCACUACGGGGUUAAAACUUGCGAAUCAUGUAAAGGAUUCUUCAAACGGACUUUUCAAGGGAACAUGUUUGAAAACUAUCGGUGUAAGAGAGGCGAUGGUAAAUGUAGAAUUUCGAUGAGCAACAGGACCUCCUGUCGACUUUGUAGAUACAACAAGUGCUUGUUUGUUGGCAUGCUGCCUGUCUUUAAACAGGACGCCUUAUAUCUCUAAAAUAAGGAUUUUAAGGAAAUAAGGAUUUAUUUUAGAGAUAUAAGGCGUCCUGAGGGGUAAGUGCGAUUUUUACUCGAUCAAACGCGUCGUAAAUAAAGGCGAAUUUGUAUGUGAUUUGAUCAGCGCCAUCUAGUGGUAACGCGAUGGCACUAAUGCAAUUCCAUACAAAUUCGUGAUUACUUGCUCGACGGGUUUGGUCGAGUAAAACCCGCAUUAACCCCUCUGUUUAAAAACAGGCAGCAUAUGUGUAACUCCCCCCGAAAAAGUCCAGUUAUCUGACUGACUAAUAGUAAUCUGAGUUACAUUUGUUUGAGUGCUAACCGAUGCACAUGGGGUGAAGGAAAACAUCCAUCGUGAGGAAACCUGCAGAUUCAGGUUCCUGGAUAGUGUCUCCAUGAUCCGAUAAGGUUUCUCCUGCAAAUAUUGCGGAGGUCAGACUGUUGUCGCUCCGUAUUAAACCUUGACUUUGCCAUCUAGGAUGGUGGCAGGACCCUGGGCUCCCCUCUGUGAUGCAAAGUCAAGUAAUAUUCGAACAUUGAGACGAAUGUAGUCAUCCAGUAAUGUCUCUGCGAUUAUUUUCUUAAUCACAUUGUUAAUUGUAGUAUGUUCAGUACAUACGAAGAGGCUAUGCUUUAUUUUCUCUCUUGUUCUAUCUCUUCGGUUCUGUUAGAUUCUAUGAUAGAUUAAUCAGACCCGUACUUACAUAUGUAUUCAUGUUUUUUUUUUAUAAUUCAUGUAGACAGAUUCUUGAAUAAUAAAAAUAAUAGGAAGUAUAUAUACCUCUGAUUGGUAUCAGUUAAAUCUGUUAAUUAUUAUUAUUAUUAAAAAGGAUAUGAAAGAAAAAUAUUUGUAAUUUCGAAGAUAUAUAUUAUUUAAAUUUUUUUUGGAUACACUAUUAAUAAUUAAGGUAGGUACUUAAGCAACAAGUUUUAUAUAUAAGUAAUUUUUAUACUUAGAUUAUUAGAAAUUUCUAUGAAUAUUAUGAAUUAGAGAGAAUGUAAUAAAAUUUUAUAAUAAGUUUAUAUGAGUAUAAUAAAUAUCAUGGUUACGGUUUACUGGUUU